rnacentral:rRNA from 1 species
AAGACUUCGGUCAAGUUGAACGGAUGACUUAGUGGCGGACGGGUGAGUAACGCGUGAGGAACCUGCCUUUCAGUGGGGGACAACAGUUGGAAACGACUGCUAAUACCGCAUAAGCGCACAGCUUCGCAUGAAGCAGUGUGAAAAACUCCGGUGGUACAAGAUGGACCCGCGUCUGAUUAGCCAGUUGGCAGGGUAACGGCCUACCAAAGCGACGAUCAGUAGCCGACCUGAGAGGGUGACCGGCCACAUUGGGACUGAGACACGGCCCAAACUCC